rnacentral:rRNA from 1 species
AUUGAACGCUGGCGGCAGGCUUAACACAUGCAAGUCGAACGAGUGGCGGGCGGGUGAGUAAUGCUUGGGAAUCUAGCUUGUGGAGGGGGAUAACUAAGGGGAACUGUAGCUAAAACCGCAUUCCUGAGGCUGAGCCCAAGUAGGAUUAGGUAGUUGGUGAGGUAAAGGCUCACCAAGACGACGAACUCUAGCUGGUCUGAGAGGAUGACCAGUCACACUGGAACUGAGACACGGUCCAGACUCCUACGUGAGGCAGCAGUGGGGAAUAUUGCGCAAUGGGCGCAACCUGAUGCAGCCAUGCCGCGUGAAUGAAGAAGGCCUUCGGGUUGUAAAGUUCUUUCGGUAGCGAGGCGUUACCUACAGAAGAAGCACCGGCUAACUUCGUGCCAGCAGCCGCGGUAAUUC